AGACCCGAAACCCGGUGAUCUAGCCAUGGGCAGGUUGAAGGUUGGGUAACACUAACUGGAGGACCGAACCGACUAAUGUUGAAAAAUUAGCGGAUGACCUGUGGCUGGGGGUGAAAGGCCAAUCAAACCGGGAGAUAGCUGGUUCUCCCCGAAAGCUAUUUAGGUAGCGCCUCGUGAAUUCAUCUCCGGGGGUAGAGCACUGUUUCGGCUAGGGGGCCAUCCCGGCUUACCAACCCGAUGCAAACUGCGAAUACCGGAGAAUGUUAUCACGGGAGACACACGGCGGGUGCUAACGUCCGUCGUGAAGAGGGAAACAACCCAGACCGCCAGCUAAGGUCCCAAAGUCAUGGUUAAGUGGGAAACGAUGUGGGAAGGCCCAGACAGCCAGGAUGUUGGCUUAGAAGCAGCCAUCAUUUAAAGAAAGCGUAAUAGCUCACUGGUCGAGUCGGCCUGCGCGGAAGAUGUAACGGGGCUAAACCAUGCACCGAAGCUGCGGCAGCGACACUCAGGUGUUGUUGGGUAGGGGAGCGUUCUGUAAGCCUGCGAAGGUGUGUCGUGAGGCAUGCUGGAGGUAUCAGAAGUGCGAAUGCUGACAUAAGUAACGAUAAAGCGGGUGAAAAGCCCGCUCGCCGGAAGACCAAGGGUUCCUGUCCAACGUUAAUCGGGGCAGGGUGAGUCGACCCCUAAGGCGAGGCCGAAAGGCGUAGUCGAUGGGAAACGGGUUAAUAUUCCCGUACUUGGUGUUACUGCGAAGGGGGGACGGAGAAGGCUAUGUUGGCCGGGCGACGGUUGUCCCGGUUUAAGCGUGUAGGUGUGUGUUCCAGGUAAAUCCGGUUCACUUUAACACUGAGGCGUGAUGACGAGGCACUACGGUGCUGAAGCAACAAAUGCCCUGCUUCCAGGAAAAGCCUCUAAGCAUCAGGUAACAUCAAAUCGUACCCCAAACCGACACAGGUGGUCAGGUAGAGAAUACCAAGGCGCUUGAGAGAACUCGGGUGAAGGAACUAGGCAAAAUGGUGCCGUAACUUCGGGAGAAGGCACGCUGACACGUAGGUGAAGUGAUUUACUCACGGAGCUGAAGUCAGUCGAAGAUACCAGCUGGCUGCAACUGUUUAUUAAAAACACAGCACUGUGCAAACACGAAAGUGGACGUAUACGGUGUGACGCCUGCCCGGUGCCGGAAGGUUAAUUGAUGGGGUCAGCGCAAGCGAAGCUCCUGAUCGAAGCCCCGGUAAACGGCGGCCGUAACUAUAACGGUCCUAAGGUAGCGAAAUUCCUUGUCGGGUAAGUUCCGACCUGCACGAAUGGCGUAAUGAUGGCCAGGCUGUCUCCACCCGAGACUCAGUGAAAUUGAACUCGCUGUGAAGAUGCAGUGUACCCGCGGCAAGACGGAAAGACCCCGUGAACCUUUACUAUAGCUUGACACUGAACAUUGAGCCUUGAUGUGUAGGAUAGGUGGGAGGCUUUGAAGUGUGGACGCCAGUCUGCAUGGAGCCGGCCUUGAAAUACCACCCUUUAAUGUUUGAUGUUCUAACGUGGACCCGUGAUCCGGGUUGCGGACAGUGUCUGGUGGGUAGUUUGACUGGGGCGGUCUCCUCCUAAAGAGUAACGGAGGAGCACGAAGGUUGGCUAAUCCUGGUCGGACAUCAGGAGGUUAGUGCAAUGGCAUAAGCCAGCUUGACUGCGAGCGUGACGGCGCGAGCAGGUGCGAAAGCAGGUCAUAGUGAUCCGGUGGUUCUGAAUGGAAGGGCCAUCGCUCAACGGAUAAAAGGUACUCCGGGGAUAACAGGCUGAUACCGCCCAAGAGUUCAUAUCGACGGCGGUGUUUGGCACCUCGAUGUCGGCUCAUCACAUCCUGGGGCUGAAGUAGGUCCCAAGGGUAUGGCUGUUCGCCAUUUAAAGUGGUACGCGAGCUGGGUUUAGAACGUCGUGAGACAGUUCGGUCCCUAUCUGCCGUGGGCGCUGGAGAACUGAGGGGGGCUGCUCCUAGUACGAGAGGACCGGAGUGGACGCAUCACUGGUGUUCGGGUUGUCAUGCCAAUGGCACUGCCCGGUAGCUAAAUGCGGAAGAGAUAAGUGCUGAAAGCAUCUAAGCACGAAACUUGCCCCGA
rnacentral:rRNA from 1 species